rnacentral:misc_RNA from 1 species
UUUUUUGCAAAGAGCUGCUAACAAAAAGAAAACCCAAGAGCAGACUCAGGGCAAUACGGAUCCUAUGUCCACAACCAAAGAGAGUCAAAUGCAGUUGGUGGUCUAUGAAGGUCGGCCUAAAUAUGCAAGCGGAAGUGGGGCUACUUCAGUACCACUUGAGCCAGAGAGUGAGAUUGGUGAUUUUGCAAUUUCAGAUUCUGAAUCUAAAUCUAGUGAUGAAGGAAAUGAUGAGAGCACAUAUAACAUAGAGCAUGAUCCAGGAUUGAGAUCUCCUAUCUCAGGGUAUCAUAUCAAUGACCACGAUUCUGUGAGAAGGGC